GAAAGCUUCAUAUUAACCAGAAGUUACAGCAGAGUCUGCAGAAUACAUCAUGAAAAGAGAAACAGAACAAAGAGUACAUAUAGUUAUAGAACAUGCACCUCACAUAUAACUACGGCCUGCUAUCAUAAUCAACAACUUCAGAAUCGGUAACAGACCGCGAGUGCUGAACAAUGGAUCGGCCAAUUGAAUUAAUCCAUUCCUCUUUCUCCUUCUCAGUAUCGGCGAUGAAAAACAUAGUAUCACGCCUUGUGGA
rnacentral:misc_RNA from 1 species